UACGUAGGCAGCAAGCGUUGUUCGGAAUUACUGGGCGUAAAGAGUGUGUAGGCGGUGUUCUAAGUUUGUCGUGAAAUCUCCCGGCUUAACUGGGAGGGUGCGGCGAAAACUGGAAUGCUAGAGGAUGGGAGAGGUAAGCGGAAUUCCUGGUGUAGCGGUGAAAUGCGUAGAUAUCAGGAGGAACACCUGUGGUGUAGACGGCUUACUGGACGGUAACUGACGCUGAGGCACGAAAGCGUGGGUAGCAAACAGG
rnacentral:rRNA from 1 species